UACGUAGGGUGCGAGCGUUGUCCGGAAUUAUUGGGCGUAAAGAGCUUGUAGGUGGCUCGUUGCGUCGGGAGUGAAAACCUGCGGCUUAACCGCAGGCCUGCUUCCGAUACGGGCGAGCUAGAGUUCGGCAGGGGAGACUGGAAUUCCUGGUGUAGCGGUGGAAUGCGCAGAUAUCAGGAUGAACACCGGUGGCGAAGGCGGGUCUCUGGGCCGAUACUGACACUGAGAAGCGAAAGCGUGGGGAGCGAACAGG
rnacentral:rRNA from 1 species